rnacentral:rRNA from 1 species
CCACUAACGAGCGCAACCCUUACCGUUAGUUACCAUCAGGUUAAGCUGGGGACUCUAGCGGGACUGCCACCGUAAGGUGAGAAGAAGGUGGGGAUGACGUCAAAUCAGCACGGCCCUUAUGUCCAGGGCUACACACGUGUUACAAUGGCCGGUACAAAGGGCAGCUACUUCGCGAGAAGAUGCUAAUCUCGAAAGCCGGUCUCAGUUCGGAUCGAAGUCUGCAACCCGACUUCGUGAAGCUGGAUUCGCUAGUAAUCGCGCAUCAGCCAUGGCGCGGUCGAAUACGUUCCCGGGCCUU